rnacentral:misc_RNA from 1 species
AAUUCUCAAACCUUCUUGGUUUCUUGAUCAAGAUGGCUUUGGACUUUGGAGGCAUUUGCUGGCUUUGCGAAAAGCCAGCUCCUCUUGAAUGCAUUAGUGGGGUCCCCUUUGCCGAUCCCCAGGCGUGAUAAGAUGUUUCUACGUCUUGGGAUUUGCUCUGUUCCUUGGGAACCUGCUUCUAACCGUCUCAUCGAAGACAUUGUUCGAGCUUGCUCGACCCACGAA